AUUGAACGCUGGCGGCAGGCCUAACACAUGCAAGUCGAGCGGGGUUUUCGGACCUAGCGGCGGACGGGUGAGUAAUGCGUAGGAAGCUACCCGAUAGAGGGGGAUACCAGUUGGAAACGACUGUUAAUACCGCAUAAUGUCUACGGACCAAAGUGUGGGACCUUCGGGCCACACGCUAUCGGAUGCGCCUACGUGGGAUUAGCUAGUUGGUGGGGUAAUGGCUCACCAAGGCGACGAUCCCUAGCUGGUUUGAGAGGAUGAUCAGCCACACUGGAACUGAGACACGGUCCAGACUCCUACGGGAGGCAGCAGUGGGGAAUAUUGGACAAUGGGCGCAAGCCUGAUCCAGCCAUGCCGCGUGUGUGAAGAAGGCCUUCGGGUUGUAAAGCACUUUCAGUAGGGAGGAAGGGUGUUGUGUUAAUAGCACAGCAUUUUGACGUUACCUACAGAAGAAGCACCGGCUAACUCUGCGCCAGCCGCCGCCGUAAUAC
rnacentral:rRNA from 1 species